UCUUCCUUCCCUCCUUCGUCUAACCGGUUUUCCGCUCCCUUCCCAUCUUUCCAUCCCAGGAGGAAGAUGACCAGCUGGGAGCUGACUGGCGGUGAAUGAAAUGUCGAAACACAGAACGAGGCAGCAAGUUAACUCAAAGGUGGUUUUUCAAAAGGCAA